GACCGUUCGCGCCGAGCCCCGGUGCUCAUGGUCGGCUCGCCCGACGGCAAGAACCGUCGACGCGGCCCCGUCGCAGACGGGGUCCCGUCGGUCGGCGACGUGUUUCGAGCUACUUUUCCGACCCGUCUUGAAACACGGACCAAGGAGUCUAACGUGUGCGCGAGUCAACGGUGAUCUUACGAAAAACCACGUUUGGCGCAAUGAAAGUGAACCGUUUACGGUGCGGACGAUGGCCUAGCGACCGAACCCACCGGCGUUCAAAGUCGCGCUGGUCCGCAGUCCGGGGGCGUCUCCGCCAAGUCGGCUUCGGCCCGGCUGAGGGCGCACCCUUAGCGCACACGUUGGUACCCGAAAGAUGGUGAACUAUGCCUGGCCAGGAUGAAGUCAGGGGAAACCCUGAUGGAGGUCCGCAGCGAUUCUGACGUGCAAAUCGAUCGUCUGAGCUGGGUAUAGGGGCGAAAGACUAAUCGAACCAUCUAGUAGCUGGUUCCAUCCGAAGUUUCCCUCAGGAUAGCUGGCGCCGAUGUGUCCCGCCCGUUCGCGGGCGUACGGACGCCGGUGGGACUCCGCGCUGUACGGCGCGGUAACAACACGCUCGUAACACGGAGGAUGUCUCAUACGGUAAAGCGAAUGAUUAGAGGACAUUGGGGCCGAAACGACCUCAACCUAUUCUCAAACUAUAAAUGAGUGAGAUCGCCGGCUUUACCUGGUACACCGCGUGAACCGCGUGCGAAGCCGGCGACGGAACCCUAGGCGCUUAGUGGGCCAUUUUUGGUAAGCAGAACUGGCGCUGCGGGAUGAACCGAACGCCGAGUUAAGGCGCCGAAAUCGACGCGUAUUCAGAGACCAUGAAAGGCGUUGGUUGCUGAUGACAGCAGGACGGUGGCCAUGGAAGUCGGAAUCCGCUAAGGAGUGUGUAACAACUC
rnacentral:ncRNA from 1 species